rnacentral:tRNA from 1 species
GCCUUCGUGGUGUAACGGUAGCACAUCUGGCGCGUAUUCGAGAGGUCCAGGUUCGAAUCCCGGUGAAAGCA